rnacentral:tRNA from 3 species
UUAAGAUUAGUUUAUUAAAACAUAAAGUUUCGACCUUUAAAUUCUUAUAUUAUUAAGAUCUUACU